UAGGGAAUCUUCGGCAAUGGGGGGAACCCUGACCGAGCAACGCCGCGUGAGUGAAGAAGGUUUUCGGAACGUAAAGCUCUGUUGUUAAGGAAGAACGAGUGUGAGAAUGGAAAGUUCAUACUGUGACGGUACUUAACCAGAAAGGGACGGCUAACUACGUGCCAGCAGCCGCGGUAAUACGUAGGUCCCGAGCGUUGUCCGGAUUUAUUGGGCGUAAAGCGAGCGCAGGCGGUUAGAUAAGUCUGAAGUUAAAGGCAGUGGCUCAACCAUUGUAGGCUUUGGAAACUGUUUAACUUGAGUGCAGAAGGGGAGAGUGGAAUUCCAUGUGUAGCGGUGAAAUGCGUAGAUAUAUGGAGGAACACCGGUGGCGAAAGCGGCUCUCUGGUCUGUAACUGACGCUGAGGCUCGAAAGCGUGGGGAGCGAACAGG
rnacentral:rRNA from 1 species